UUUUUUUUUUUUUUGUGGUAGGAAGAGUGCAGCUGCCAUUCCUAUUUAGGCAAGUUGUUGGACAUCUUUUGACAUCUCAAAACCCUCCCUUGUUUUGUAAUCAAAGUCUGCUUAUAUAAUGGGCUGGGGUGGUGACGAUUAUUUGUGAGGGGCUGGCUGCCCUUGGGUCUAACAGGCCAAGUGUGAGUGGGCCGAAGCAGUGGGCACUCCUUUUGGGUUGAGAGGAAGAAGUCCAAAAGCAUAUUUGUAACUUAAAUGACUGUACUCCAUAAGUUUACAUAUAUGUAGCAACUUAUGAGUAAUACAUUGGUUCUAUUUGUUCA